GACGAACGCUGGCGGCGUGCUUAACACAUGCAAGUCGAACGGAAAGGCCCUGCUUUUGUGGGGUGCUCGAGUGGCGAACGGGUGAGUACACGUGAGUAACCUGCCCUUGACUUUGGGAUAACUUCAGGAAACUGGGGCUAAUACCGGAUAGGAGCUCCUGCUGCAUGGUGAGGGUUGGAAAGUUUCGGCGGUUGGGGAUGGACUCGCGGCUUAUCAGCUUGUUGGUGGGGUAGUGGCUUACCAAGGCUUUGACGGGUAGCCGGCCUGAGAGGGUGACCGGCCACAUUGGGACUGAGAUACGGCCCAGACUCCUACGGGAGGCAGCAGUGGGGAAUAUUGCACAAUGGGCGGAAGCCUGAUGCAGCAACGCCGCGUGCGGGAUGACGGCCUUCGGGUUGUAAACCGCUUUCGCCUGUGACGAAGCGUGAGUGACGGUAAUGGGUAAAGAAGCACCGGCUAACUACGUG
rnacentral:rRNA from 1 species